rnacentral:rRNA from 1 species
GACGAACGCUGGCGGCGUGCUUAACACAUGCAAGUCGAACGGUGAACCUCUUCGUAGGGGUUCAGUGGCGAACGGGUGAGUCACACGUGGGCAACCUGCCCCCGGCUCUGGGAUAACUCCAAGAAAUUGGGGCUAAUACCGGAUGUUCACCGCUUCCUGCAUGGGUGGUGGUGGAAAGGGUUUCCGGCUGGGGAUGGGCCCGCGGCCUAUCAGCUUGUUGGUGGGGUAGUGGCCUACCAAGGCGACGACGGGUAGCCGGCCUGAGAGGGUGACCGGCCACACUGGGACUGAGACACGGCCCAGACUCCUACGGGAGGCAGCAGUGGGGAAUAUUGCGCAAUGGGAGGAAGCCUGACGCAGCGACGCCGCGUGGGGGAUGACGGCCUUCGGGUUGUAAACCUCUUUCAGCAGGGACGAAGCGCAAGUGACGGUACCUGCAGAAGAAGCACCGGCCAACUACGUG